CUUGUAGGUGGUUUGUCGCGUUGUUCGUGAAAUGCCACAGCUUAACUGUGGGCGUGCGGGCGAUACGGGCAGACUGGAGUACUGCAGGGGAGACUGGAAUUCCUGGUGUAGCGGUGGAAUGCGCAGAUAUCAGGAGGAACACCGGUGGCGAAGGCGGGUCUCUGGGCAGUAACUGACGCUGAGGAGCGAAAGCGUGGGGAGCGAACA
rnacentral:rRNA from 1 species